rnacentral:rRNA from 1 species
GUGGAUUAGAUACCCUGGUAGUCCUAGCUGUAAACGAUGCUGACUAGGUGUGGGAGGUAUCGACCCCUUCCGUGCCGCCGCUAACGCUUUAAGUCAGCCGCCUGGGGAGUACGGCCGCAAGGUUAAAACUCAAAGGAAUUGACGGGGGCCCGCACAAGCGGUGGAGCAUGUGGUUUAAUUCGACGCUACGCGAAGAACCUUACCUGGGCUCGAACGACUGGUGGUAGUCCCGAUGAAAGUUGGGGCGACCCGCAAGGGAGCCAGCCGAGGUGCUGCAUGGCCGUCGCCAGCU